CUCUCUCUCUCUCUCUCUCUCUCUCUCUCUCUCUCACACACACACACACACACACACACACACACACACACACACACACACAAAACCGGCACUGUGACUCAUAUCUGAUACGUGGGUGGUGAAUUCUUAAAACACAGCCACAUAAAAAGUGUGAUUCAUUCAAAAACUAGGCUACAGUCACCGGACUAAGAACGAGACUGGUGUUCGCCAAAUAGCUAAUACGCACAGGAACGCAGCUAAGUUACUAAAUUAUUGUGCUAGGAGGCAGCUACGUGAUUUUAAAAAAAAAAUGGAUUUGAAGUUUUUUUCGUGUUUGCUGCUUUCUCUCGUCGCUCUCGCCUCAGCCCAGCACUCAGACGGUCAGAAAUGCAAACGAGGUGAAUUCUGGAACACGGAUGCUAGUGAAUGUAUAGAAUGUGAUAUAUGUAAAACUCACCCGAAGACACCAUACUGUGAAACAUGCGACUGGGUGGAAAACUCCGACUUUGACGUCUGGAUGGUCGUAGCUCUAGUCAGCCUGUCUCUCAUCGUCGUCAUAGCGACCGCGGUGCUCGGUGUUUACGUGCAGCAGUGGCGGGAAAAUAGAAGCGCGUCUCUUAGCGAACCUAUUGAAGAGACUGCUGGCCCGUUGUAUCCAGGACCAUAGACAACACCAAGCAGAGACCCAGUCUAAAAACGCUGACAGGAAUUUCAGACUGAAGAACACCAAUGAAAGCCCGUCCCCUUUAAAUAUCUUCAAUGGCGAUGCAGACAGACAGACAGACAGACAGACAGACAGACAGCGGCACUGCAUUCUAUAUGAGCAGCAGAAGUAACAGGUUGAGGCUGGGUAGCAGACCGAACCACAGGGUCGAACAUUUGAAUACAGAGCGAUUCAUCAUUCACGCAACUGUGGCGGAACACAACAAAGUCUGCUUUUUUUUUUUUUUAAGCAGAAUAAUUAAAAAAAAACCAAGACCGUUGCGUGAAUUCUGAAUCGCUCUGUGCAUCUCGUAAUAUCAAUUGCCUUCAGGAAGCAUUUAUAUCGGCAGGGUAUUGACACAAAUCCAGUCGGUUGAAGUGUGUGGAUUUCUAAAAUGACGAACCAAAAAAAGCCAGCCUCCCCUCACCUUUGCAAUCGAGUACCAAUCAAUGGCGAUUUAACUUCCAGACGCCCGUCCGGGAAGAGAAUUAUCUUCUCAUCGGGGAGAGCUGACAUUUGUACUGCCUUACAGAGAGCCGUAAACGGUUCAAGAAAAAGUCGAUUUGAAAUACUUUUUAAAGGCAAUUACCAGUAUGAAUUUGGCCGGGUGCUCCAGCGGUUAGAGAAAAGGGGGUCUUGAUACCAGGAGGUUCAAAUCCCGGCUCAGCCACUGACUCCCUGCGUGCGUGCGUGCGUGCGUGCGUGCGUGCGUGUGUGCGUGUGACCCUAAGCAAGUCACUGAACCUCCUUGUGCUCCGUCCUUCGGAUGAGACGUCAAACAAACAAGCUCCUAUUGGAAGUGACUCUGCAGCAGCAGCAGCAGCAGUUGAUGAUGCAGAGUUCACCCCCCUAGUCUCUGGAAGUCGCUUUGGAUAAGUCUGCUAAAUGACCAAUUAAUAAUAAUAAUAAUAAUAAUAAUAAUAAUAAUAAUAACUGAGUUUCUGUGUAUGGUUUUUAAUCAGUGUUUGCCACAGUACUGUACUGUGCUAUCUCAGCACUAUUAUCAGAAGCAAAUAUCACAGGACAGUCCUUUGUGAAAUGUCCUGGUAACACUGUGGUCUGUUGUGGGUCUGCUAGUUUGGGGAUCUUUCAGGUAACCAUGCUGGGGGGGGGGGCUGGUGGAGAAUUACGUUCCCCCCCCCCCCCCCCCCCCCCCAAAACAGUCACUGUACUGUAGUUUGAGUUGUCGCAGAAAAUGAUUCAGACAGUCACAUCUACCUGGAGGCAUACAGCUGUAACGCAGAUAGUUAUCGAAACUAACGCUUAUGUUUCUUUGGACCUCGUUCGACGUUUGAAGGGUUUUAAAAAAGUUUUAUCUAGUAGAGUGCUCAAUGAUUUGGAUGUCAGCGAGCUACCGCCCCCUGGAGGCCAAGCCCUGCAGGUGUCCGCUCUGAGCUCCCCUGGCCAGUAGGGGUCACUGCAGCGCGAUGAGGAGAAACAGUCCUGGCUGGUUUUGUUUCUCUAACCCGCAGCCAAUGCGACUCUCCCUUCAGAGUCCCUCAGUGAAGACUGGUGACUUCACACAGCCAGGAACCUGCGCUCCCCUGACUGUGCGACUCCCCCCCUGCACACCACGCGGCCGUGCCUUUACCAGGGGAGACCCUCGGGGACCCCUGCGCUCCACUGACUGUGUGACUCCCCCCUGCACGCCACGCAGUCGUGCCUUUACCAGGGGAGACCUUCGGGGACCCUGCGCUCCCCUGACUGUGCGACUCCCCCCUGCACACCACGCGGCCGUGCUUUUACCAGGGGAGACCCUCGGGGGACCCCUGCGCUCCCCUUGACUGUGCGACUCCCCCCCUGCACACCACGCAGCCGUGCCUUUACCAGGGGAGACCCUCGGGGACCCCUGCGCUCCCCUGACUGUGUGACUCCCCCCUGCAUGCCACGCGGCCGUGCCUUUACCAGGGGAGACCCUCGGGGACCCCUGCGCUCCCCUGACUGUGUGACUCCCCCCUGCACGCCACGCGGCCGUGCCUUUACAUCCUGGUGACAUUUUUUGUUUUAAAGCACCAGAAUCACUAUAGGGCUGUGGAGAGUUUGAAACCUAACUGAGAUAUGUUUCUGGCGUCACUCUGCUGAAAUAAUUUAUUAUUUUUAUUCUCAGCCACAAACGCUGCUAACUAGUGUAGACGCUGGCUGUAGAUAAAAAACACACAAAAAAAAAAGUUAGUCAUCAGGGGUUUGGGGUCAAUUCAUGCUUUUUCUCACAAUUCCUUUUUAAAAUCAAUUUCCAGUUCCUAUUCCUUUGAAGGAAUCCGAAUUGAUAUUUUAGUGACGUAAUAAUUACCAUAAUCAAUUAAUCGACUAACACAGAGUUUCCUACCCCUGUUUACUUAACCAGGCAUCUUAAUCAAACUGAUCAUUUGCUUAAUUAAAUUAUCUUUGAGCUCUUACGCAGUUGCAAGUUCUCUAUUUAAUAUUUUUAUCAGUAACUUGAACCAAGCAACUGUUUAAGAGCAAAUGAAAAAGAUCUACAUUAAAACUGCAAUUCCUAGCAAUUAUGUUUCCUCUUUUAAUUUUUCUUAUGAGUAUAUUGAAAGAGAAAAAAAUACCGCAGCUGUCUUUCACACCCUCCUUAAUCUCGUUUAGAAUCUCUUUGUACAGCGUUUUCGCUCGGCACAUCCUGAUUACUGAAAAAAAAAUUAAACCAAACUCUGUGCUGACUCAAUAGAGCUCACAAAUUAAUUAGACCCCUUUGUAAUCGUCUUCAGCUCUUAAUAAACAGUUUACAGAUUUCAAGUUACUUAGAAAAUGUUAUGGCUGACUUGAAAUCUGUUUAUUAAGAGCUGAAAACAAUUACAAAGGGGUCUAAUUAAGCAAAAGAUCAGUUCAGUGAAGGGUCUGGUGAAGUAAUUGAGAGCUCAGUGGGACUGAAAACCAGCAGGGGGUCCCACAGGACCAGGGAAAGGAACCAGUGGACUCGUGGAUGUUAGAAUAAUACCUUCUUCUAGUAGUAUUUAUUACAGAUGUAUUUCCUCCAGUGUUGCAGGGGGGACAGUUGACAAUGGCGCACCAGCUGUGCAGCUCUGGCCAAAAGUUUUGCAUCACCUAAAAUUUUAGGAUUGAGAAAAAAAUAUAUAUAUAUAUACUUUUAUUUCACAUCCUGUAAGCAAAGAGAAACUACAACAAUGAUAUUGCAAAAAACAAACAAAAAAAGAGUACCGGAAGCCAUAAUAGUAGUAAAGUAAGUGUUUCAUGUUAGAUUUCGAAAUGUCACACUUUUUCCAAUCAGUCUAAAGGGAACAUUAUUCAGCAGCUUUCAUUGGACUCUAUGAAGCUGAGGGAGUUCAUUCUAUAUAGAGGGGGUGCAAUUCAAUAUGUUAACAAGGGAACAUUAUUCAGCAGCUUUCAUUGGACUCUAUGAAGCUGAGGGAGUUCAUUCUAUAUAGAGGGUGUGCAAUUCAAUAUGUUAACAAGGGAACAUUAUUCAGCAGCUUUCAUUGGACUCUAUGAAGCUGAGGGAGUUCAUUCUAUAUAGAGGGUGUGCAAUUCAAUAUGUUAACAAGGGAACAUUAUUCAGCAGCUUUCAUUGGACUCUAUGAAGCUGAGUGAGUUCAUUCUAUAUAGAGGGUGUGGAAUUCAAUAUGUUAACAAGGGAACAUUAUUCAGCAGCUUUCAUUGGACUCUAUGAAGCUGAGGGAGUUCAUUCUAUAUAGAGGGUGUGCAAUUCAAUAUGUUAACAAGGGAACAUUAUUCAGCAGCUUUCAUUGGACUCUAUGAAGCUGAGGGAGUUCAUUCUAUAUAGAGGGGGUGGAAUUCAAUAUGUUAACAAGGGAACAUUAUUCAGCAGCUUUCAUUGGACUCUAAGAAGCUGAGUGAGUUUGUUCUGUAUAGAGGGUGGUGAUGCUAAACUUUUAGCUGUAGCGUGUAAAUCAAAGAGGUUUCUGAUAAGGCUGUAUAGAGCACUGGUACUAGAGAACGCACUUAGAAAUUGUUCAGUACUAGUCAUCACAGUAUGUUUAUACCAUGCUGUGAAUUGAGCACUGGGGUGGCCUUUGACUGCAAUAAAGUCAUUGGAGUCAUUUUUUUUAUUAUUAUUAUUGUUUUUAAAAUAAUUUAUUGUUUCUCUUGAAAAAAAUGUCUUCCAAUGUAAAUAAGGUUUGUUGUCUUUCCUUUUUGUUAUUUAAUUGCAAUAAAUUUUGCACAUUUUAAAAUCUG